CCUCCCCCCUCCCCACUCUCCUCCUGUUCUCCCUCGUCCUACAAGUUAGUGAAACAGUCAUUAUUCUUGACUUGUCUUUGCCCGAUGCUGCAAGGGCUGGCUCAGAUAUAAAGCUUAAUUGCCAAUACGAUCUACAGG